GCUUGAGAGUAAUACAAAGGUUCAGAUUCCAAAGUAGAAGAAGAGGAACCAGAAAAGGCAGGGAGUUGGCAGACAUAAUCCUUAAGAUAGGAAGGAAGAUUAUGCUAUCUAGUGGACUUUCUAGAAGCAGGAAGAGGGUGUGAAGAAGGUACAACAGGGGGAGAGAUAUCGGGAUUGAAGGAAGGAAGAGAAGAUGGAGCAGCAUCAGUAAAAUCAGGAACAGGAGAAUCAAAUGUUGGAGCAGAUGUGGGGGAAGGAGGGAAGGAAGCAUGUAUAGGAAAAUCUGUGUCAGUGCUCAGCAUGAGGAAUAGAAGGAAAGGAUGAAGGAGAAGGGUGAGCAGAAGAAGGUUUAUUCUUAAAAGGAAAACAAGUUUCAUGGAAGACAACAUCCCUGGAGACAAAACACUUCUUGGAAACCGUGAGCAGAAGAAGGUUUAUUCUUAAAAGGAAAACAAGUUUCAUGGAAUAGAACAUCCCUGGAGACAAAACAUUUCUUGGAAACCAGAUCAUACAGUUUAU
rnacentral:lncRNA from 1 species